rnacentral:lncRNA from 1 species
CCACUCAAAGUGAAGCUCGAACUCAUUUCAGAUUAACAUUUAACUGAACAUGCAACAGGUCACGUACGUCUUUCUAUCCAGAAAUCUAAUGUUGAUGUUGUGCACCUCUGCCUCUGCGACUUGGACUUUAAUAACACCAUCUUGUAGAAUCUCAACAUCAGUGACCUGCGAUUGUUUACACAUAGUCCCGUUACAGCCACAAAGGUCCGGCAAGAAGCAGUAAAGGUGGAAUACUCCUGAACGUAUAUAAGACCUUACGAGAAUUUUCGGAUCAUUUCAUUCAAGAAAUUGAGGUUAUUCCAUGAAAUCUCACCUGCCCAAAAAGUCCACGGGCUCUGUACCACCCAUUAAGCGUAUCAAGGACAGUGUUGAGACGUUGAAUAUUGACCACCUUUCCUGCAUGACAUCAACUCCAAAUUAAAGCACAAUAAAUCCAUGAAUUACAAUUCUUCAGCAAAAAGCAAUAGUGCAUCACUCUGCUCUAUCAAGCAAACGGGGUCACCAAAACAUGGACCAUAAAUCAACAAACAAAGAAGGGCAAGCAGUUUAGUGAUAAGUUUGAUGAUCCUGCGCUUGAUGAGAGCAUACCAAAUUCAGCACGAAAUGCAUUCUGCACUACUCGGGUAGGUAGCACAUUGGCACCGUUGCAUACAAGUCCUCUCAACUCCUGGUUCGGCUCUACCUUCAGUCAGAGCAGUGAAUCCACCAAAAAAUGUGUCAGAAUUGGCCAAAAUCGAAUAUACAUCCGGAGGGCGAAUCCAGUGCAUACAAACAUGAACACCAAGUGCAACUUCGGAACCAAAUUCCAAGAUGGAAAUAUGCAAAAACUCCGUGCUUUAAAACUCAAGUGAUACUCGAAAAAGAAGGGAAAAACGAGCAAAACCCUAUACUGCGGACUGUCCAACUUUAUGCUUCCAACGUGCGACUAGCAUGUAAGAAUUCAAUCUUCUCUAGUAAACUCAAAUCACAAGACAUUUCCCAGAGCCAAACAUGGUGCUAUCAUCGCAUGAAGCCUUCAAAGACACUACCUCAAGAAUAAAAUAGAAAUAUACAACGUCAAGUUUUAAAAGCGAGGUUUAACCAACCUUGAAUAUGAGGCGCACACCGUCUCGAGUAUCCUCCGCUGACGGCAUACACGAGGCAAAGAAGCCUGUGUCGAUGAUUCGGUGGACAUCGGCCUGAACCUCAGAGGUAGUCAAAGCAAAAUUGGGCUUGCAUGCCUUCAACGCUUGCCACGCAGUACUGUUGAGCUCGGGAUCCGUGAGCUCCUGACCAUCCUUGUCUUGUAUUAAAAUCUCACUUAUCAAUACCCUCUCUUCCUCUUGAGGAGCUUCUUGCCCGAUUUGUAGUCCAGGAACUUUACGCCGACUAGGACGCACAGACUCUACUUUAGGGUCUCCACUCUGGUCUUGGCUCAUGGAGAGUGAAGCUAGGCGAAUAGGAGCAGCAUUCAUAUACAUAAAUGGCUUAAAAUUGGCAUGCUUGAUGAGCGACUCGCGAGCCCUGAUUGCAAUGGGAACCCAUUUUGUGCAAAAAGAUUGGAUGAGACCUUCCGCAGCGGAUACAAAAUUUCCGAGUGGUGACUGGUUUGGUAAAAUCUGUAAUCUGGUGGCAGGUCUACGUGGUUUACAUGGUGGGAGCUUCACAUUGGAGAAGGAAACCCGUGCUUGUGCUAGCUUGGCCGGUGAAGCACCAGGUGAUUGCUCGGACAAGCACAUGACGUUCGAUGGCACGGAAACACUAGAAUCCCACCAAGGCCGCGGCUCAAUGUUCAACUUCCUUCACAGUUCCGUGCGGUUGAUUAAACCAGAAAAAAACAUAAGGGCGGAUUGGUCGGCACCAAACACAUUCAGAGAACCCUCUUUGCCCUACAUUUUGCAAGGAUCUCUCCGACCACUUGAAUUUUAUAACUCCCUGCAAUAAAUAUACAACAAUGAAAAAAAAAAAAAAAAAAAAAAAAAAAAGAAUUGGCGCAUCACAAUCGUACAUCAAUUUCCAGCAUAGUAAUGACGCCACGAAACUAAUGAAUUCACGAGACAUUCAGUCUUCCUAAACCUCACUAAGUUCAAUGCCCAAUAAUCCAGGCCCUGAAGAACCCAUUAACCAAGAUUGGGGCAAUACUCUGAGUCGCAGCUUCUCAUAAAAAUAACACACAACACAAAGCGAAGUGCCCAGAUUCCGAACUCAUAGCCCAGUUACACAGUCACCAAUCAUUCAUGCAGAAAACCCUAAAAUCUCAACCCAACCUCGAAAUAUUCCCAAUUCUACCCCACCGAGAUCCACAAUCCUCUCCCACCAGACACGCACACAGAUAGAAGGGCAACAACCCUCACCUGAUACUGCAGCAACAAUGCUGCCAGUUGAAAUUUCUACGUCAAAUCUUAAACCUCCCAAACAACGACAGCCUCCCAAAGCUCCAUUAGCGCCAACUCCUCCUCCUCGGCCAACUGCUCCUCAUCCAUGACACCAACUCCACCGAAUCUGGGUUUCAACGAAAUCCGUAAAAUGAACCCUCGCUUCCGGGCUGCGGGUCAUGGACCUCUGGAUGAAUGCGGACGAUAUCUGAAACAGUGGAAUGGACGAACCCAGCAACCAAUCACGAAAUUCCUGGAAGGGGGUUAAUGAUAUAGCGCCAAUUAUUCGAUUCAAAAUCAUGCGGUUUGCUUGCAAUCCUCGGCCGCAUAAUCCAUCAAACACGGUCGGCCUCAAUCGAGCAACCUUCCUCUUGAAUGUGUAAGUGAAAGUGCUAACCAUAAUCCCUAAUCGACAAUGUCCAUUGGUGGCUUCAUUCCCAUCGAGAUACGUGUUGGUAGAUGCUGAUGUGGGUGAUUUGUUUUAUUUUUAUUGCUGCUUUUUUCAUAAUUUGUUUGCCACUCGGCAGGGGAUCAUUGGAGAAUCUAUUACCAGGAGUGGGGUCUCGGCAAGUGGGUUUUCCAUGCGCUAUUACUGGCUAACGCAAGCUCUUUGCAACUUGGACGUUUCUUCGCUUGCCUCCUCGCUAGUUUGGAGAUAAACUCAUCUUGCUCAAGAUUUCUCGGUCCCAGUGAUGCGAAUAUCGCCAUGCUGCAGCCGUAGCGGAGCAUCGGAGUGAUUGGGCAAGGAAGAAGUUCCUUGGGACCAAUUUCUGUUUUGCAAUCGUGGUGUGAGCCGUGGGUGUUCCAGGUGAGAGAAGCAGAAGAAGUAGAAGUAGGAGUGGAAGAGUCUGUUGUUUCGUUUGUGGGCGAGUCUUGCUAUUCACAACUCUUCGCUCCUGUCAGAGCGUUCUGGCGACAGUUGCGUUGCGUCUUGCACUGGCAUCUGUAUUAUUUGGUUUUGUGGACUGUGAAGUGGUUGGUGUGGAAGCUGAAGUAGGGAAAGGUGUGCAUAGAUAUUAGAGACUGUUCAUUUUGUCCAGUUCAAACUUUGGGUUUCGACAAUGGAUCCUACAAGUGUUGCUGGUGUGAGGAGAUAGUCGUAAUCUCUGCAGUUUGUCUAAGUAUUUGAGUUCAAGUGAUUGAGAAUUUUGUCGCUGGUGUGUUCCACAGUAUUGCUCUUUCAGAGAUUUCUUUUGAUGCUUACAAGCAAAGAUGCUCAGUUUGUUAUCCGUGUCUCAGCAAUCGUGCUGAUGGCGGUUUUCUGAUCUUUUACCUCAUCGGUUACUUCUCUUUGUCUGCUAGUUCGGUCAGAAAUACUCUUACCGAAUAAGCGGAGAGUCAUGACAUUGCUCGGUUAAGGUUUGCAAGGAAGCUCUCUGCUCAUCUACUUAAAGCAACUGAAGGAUUCAGUGGCGGGGUCCUAAUGUAGGUUUUGGUCACGGCUGUGGGUUACGUAUCAAUUUCAGGUCUGGGUGCGGGCCGUCACCUUAUCCAUAAAAUUAUUUUUUGGAAGAUAUUCGAUUCAUUCUGCUGUUCUUUUAGAACAGCGAAUUGUCCAACUGUGUGUUGCGCUCCUACUCUGAGCCUACAGCUGAAACAAUUUGUUGUCACGAAUUCUCUGUACCUCACAGGAUAAGUGGUUCCUAGUAAGGAUUCUUUCAUUUUCCUUUGCCGCAAUUUCCGACAAAUAGGGAAUGAGUCAACCAUGACAUAACUUCAUCUUCUAUUGGUACUUCGACAUAUUCUACUAAGUAGCUCAGUUCUAUGCGCCAUUGGUUUCUAUUCUUGAGCAUGUCUGAUUUCUUCAUGCAGCUGACAAAAAAAUUUGCCGGUAUUUGCAGGUGGCUACAAUGGGUGUCUCAACGAAGGUUGGGACGCAACCUCAAAGUUUCGAUUUGCGGCAGCUUGCGACCAUGAAGCUGUCAACAGAAUACGAUUCUGAGGGGAGUGUUUUUGUCAAUAAAUUUUCUGCACGCAUGCUGAAUGGGAUUGCCAAGCUCACGGGCUCUAUUCAGAGGGAACCGUCGGGCGAUCUUCGCUAUCCACUGCUGGGCGUGGUCACGAAGUUUUUCUCUGUGAUUUAUGAUCACGAGGACCGCAAUGCUCUUGUAACGCUCAAUGCCGACGUCAACCGGAACUUAUCGUUCAAGUACCUGCGAGACAUAAAGGCUCAGCAAGGUGAAGUGAAGCUACUUGCCAGUACAGCGAACCUUAGGUAUAAGACGGAGAUUUCUUUUGACGUCCCAGCCACGACUUUGGUAUGUCUCAAUCCACGUUUCUAAAUACCGAUGUUUAUCUCGUUGUAUAAUGUAGAGAGAUUAUUUCCAUACAACUUCCACAGAGAUAGCACUCAGUGUAGAUAGUUGACAGGAAUUUGAGGACGUGUUUGAUUUUCUGGUGCAGCCGAAAGUAGUUUGCACGUUUCCGCAAGGGCAAUUAAGGGCUGAAGAGGUGGAAGUGGACGAGGAGCGAGCAAUUGCACUCAGUGGCUUCCUUGGCGGGAGCAUACUCAACGGUCAAGUUGUUGCAAGUUAUUCCGACGAGAGCGCCACUUUAAAAUACACAUACAAGGUGCUUGACCCAUUCUUUACCCCUUGGUCUUUAAUCAUGCUUGGAAUAAAACCUCUAGUCCCCAGGUUCAUCUGUUCUCCUGAUGCAUAGUGAUCCUAUCUUGAUGACCAGGAUGAGGAGUUGACAAUGAUACCAUCAGUCUCAUGGCCUCAAUUAUCCCCAUCACUUGCAUUUAAGCGGCAGUUUGGACCACACAACAAGCUCAGGUGCUAGCCUCUCUACUCUUUCCAUUUUCUUGAACUAGUUGUCUCUGAUGAGGUUGGUGAACCGAUAUCGAUUGUCUCUAGUUAGUGGUAAUUUCCUACAGAUAGGAUGAAAUAGUGAAGUGGAUCUUCAGUCGAUUUUUGGUGGGUUUUGCAUAUUGUUAAGUCUCUAGUUAAUAGCAAUUUUUUGUGUUAGCAGAAAUUUGUGUCGUGAAAUGCUGCCUGACAAUUUCACUCUGUGCAUGGACAGCUAUUUUCAUAACUUUGAGACAGCCACAUGGAGUGCUGUAUAUAAGUAUAAACCAGUUGAGGACUUCAAGGUUAAGGUUGGCUAUGACUCUGACGUUCGUCUUGGCUGGAGUUCAUUUUGGGUAUGUUUCUUGUGUAAACCCCUUUCUUACCCGCUCUCGUCGUUUGAGAUCUUAGUCACUUUCACUUCGCUGUUCUCUAUUUCCCACUGCGUUUUAAACACUUUUUUUUUUUUUUUUUUUUUUUUUUUUUUUUUAAGUUUAAUUUUUUUAUAUCGCAGUUUAAUGUGGGAUUCUACCGUGCGUUGCAGAUUGGUAAGGAGAAUGCCGGUGCCAAGCAUGCGCCCAGGAAAUUUAAAUUGCAAGUAAUGCUACAAGUACCUCAGGACGAGUUAAAAUCUGCUGCUCUGUUGUUCAGAAUGAAAAAGCGGUUUGAUUUGUGUUGACCCUCGUCUGUACAAUUUUAUUACAACUUCCGAAUCCACCAUUUUGAUUUGAUUAGCUAAAACAAUCCUUCUCGUGUCUGCCUUCAUUGUUGCUUCUCUGUCAUUUAUCACAAAAUGCCUUGCUUCGCUCGUAUUUUGCACAAAGACCCUAGUCAUAUUCUUCUUGUACUGUGUUAGUCAUCCCAAGCCUAUCAAGUGUGCCAGUGUUGGGCUACCUCUCUACGGACGACCUUCGCAAAUCUUUUCAGCUUUGUUUGGGCAAAUCUGAUGGAGCUGAUUGAUGAUCACUUGGAUGUGUACAGCAUGUGAUAAUUGUAUCUUGAAUGGAAUUAUAAAGUACAAUAAAUGAUACAGCAGAAGCCACGUCUGGACUAGUCUUUGACGUCCAGUAUACUGAUCUAGUGAUUGGUUGUUUGUUCCUAAGACGUCUAGUUAGGGUUGAUUACUGUUAGUUUCGGGACUAUAACGUGUUUGUAAGCGUAUCUUUACAAGUGUAGGUAGUCAUAACGACCAAAGCUAGGUUGGUUUGAAUACCCCAUGACUGCUUCUGUGCGAUGGAUCAAUUUGAAGCGUAUCAACGUCGAGUUUGGAGUCUUGGCUAUAAAUUGGAGUCUCUCGCUGUGAAUAUGAUCCAGAUCAUGGGUCACAAGUAUUUAAGAAAGAUCAGGGAUGAAUUUGAGGUUGGCUCCUUCUCCAAAAUCCAUGCUGCGUAAUUUCAGUAGAACCAUUCACAAGGAGGUGACAAAAGAAAGAUAUGUAAGCACAGACCCAUUACACUACUGAACAACAUUUCUGAUGAGGUAUUUGCCAGUAUGCUUCAGCAUUGUCGUAAGAAUUGCUUGCUGGAAUUAACAAUUUGAAUUCAAUUGCCCUUGUCCCUUUUUGAUACCUCUUGAAUAUUGCUCUCCUUAUCACUUACUAUUCGAUUAUGUCAUCAGUAUUUUAAAAUUAGAUUUUGAUUUGAUUUUGUACAGGCCUUUCUAGUAUUGCUUGUGCAGAUCUCUCAUUGCCCUAGAAUUUGAGUUCAAGUAUCUCAACCAUUUUUAUUCACAUGUACAUUUGUAUUGAUUGAUUUCACUUUAUCUUUUAUAGUUUUAUAACAAAUAAUGAAAACUGAAAAAGAUUGUUGAGGUUGUCUCUUAGCAUCUUACUUCACAAUUCCAAUAAAAACAUCAACUUUUUUUAAAAAAUAAACCGAUUGAAUUUUAUGUUUUUUUCAUUUAAAAUUUUCAAACAUAUUAUUUCUUCUCACAAUUGGUUUGUGUGAACAUGAUAUUUUAAUAUUUAUUAUUAGAUAAAAUAUUGAUUUUUAAUAUAAUCAUGAAUUUUAAUUUUCUUUUUUGUUCUUAGUUAUGAUUUAAUAAGUUGGUAAACAACUUGAUUCCAUGGAUACAAAAGGUAUAUCGAUUUUUCUCAACUUAAGAAUAUGUUUUAUGAUUGUCAAUUUUAGAUGAGUUUCCUAAAUUAUUAGAGGCAUGUUUAGAUCAACAAUUAAUGUCUAAUAGUAAUUAUUUUACUAUCAUAUUUUGCAUUUAUUUUAUUUUAUUUUUAUUUUAUCUUAUCUUUAAAUAUUAAAUUAAUUUAAUCCCACACUUGAACCUUGAAUAUUGUAUAUUUUUUAGAUUUUAUUAUAAUGAAAAGACCCAUUAUUUAAGUGACAUAAUUACAUUAGAAUAUUGAAAGAUGUAUCUAUGUUUAUCAAUUUGAAAUAUGUAUAUAUAUUAUUUGAAGUGAUAAUUUUUUCUUAUUUUAUAUAAUAAAAAUUAAAAAUAAAAUAAAAAAAUAAAUGUACAACCGUUAAAUAUUGUUGUGUAUAUAAGAGAUGGAAGAAAUUGAAUUUUAAAAUCUAAGAAUGAUCUAUUCAUUUAAAAAUUUGUAAUGUAAAUGUUGACAAUUAUAUUAUUUCUAAAAAAAUCCAUUAUUUCUUCUAUUUUUUUCCAUUGUUACUUCUAUUUUUUUUAGAAAUAAUAUCACAAAGGAUAUGAUAUUUUUUUUCAAAUUUGAAUUUUUAAUAACCUCAAACUACCAAAAAAUAUCAAGUUAAUACCAAGUGAUUGAUAAUUCAAAUCUUUUUUGUAAAAUAUUUUCUUUCCAAAUAAAGAUCCAAACAAAAGUAAUAAGUAUCUACUAUUCUAAAAAUUCAUCUAACUACAAUUUUUCUAUAUAGAUUUGUCUAAUAGUGAUUCUUUUUGUUCCAAAAACAUAUUCUAAGACAUAUAUUAUACACAUAUAUAUAUCUUACAAAUGAGCAAUAAUAAUGAUAAGUAAAUCAUAUUUCUCUUUAAUUCUAAGAAAGAAAACACGAUGUUAAAAUUCAAAUAAUGUCAACAAAAUUAAUAUUUGUACAAAUAAACUUAGAAUCACUCUUAUAUUUAUGAGAAUUAUAUAAAAAAAUUAUAUCUAAUAUUAAAUAUUUAAAAAUAAAUCUCUUUGUUUUAUAUAAAGGUGUUAUAUAAAUAACUUCAACCUUUUGAAACCUACUUUGUACUCUAAUCUUUUAUAAUUCAGUAGUAUAUAAAUAAUUCUAAGAUUGCUAUGGCAACUUGAAAUGUGACACCUAGAUAUGAGAAUUGAUUCUUUUGUUGUUAUUGUUUAAAUCAAAAUUUCAACUAUCAACACAUAGGAAAUCUUAUUCAUAGUUGAUUUUAAAAUUAUAAAAUUGAGAAUAAUAGGUAUAAAAAAAGAAAUCAUGGUAAUAAGUCAAUACAUAGAAAUUACCAUAUUAAAUAGCUACUAGUGAAUUUACAUGAAAUUGUUUUAAGAUUGCAUUGAUAACUUUGCCUUAGUAUUUGAUAAUAAUGGAGUUGCAUGAUUACCAUCAUUUGUCUAACCUUUAAAUAUGUAUUUAAUAACGUUGUUGAUAUUACUAAUAAAGUUUUAUUAAUCUUUAAUCUUUAUUGGAGGGCAUUGAUGAUGUUAAUAUAUAGAAAGGUUUAGCAAAGGUUAUUAGAUAUAAUGGUAAUUUUUAAAAAUACAAGUUAGAUGUUUUUCUAAUAUUAUUUAUUUAUUUAUUUAUUUUUAAGAAAAUAAAGUACUAAUAAUAUUUUUGCACUACAACUAUGUUUAUAAAUUUCUAAAUUAUAGAUCUUUGUAGAUGCUUCUCCUUAAUAUAGUAUGAAUCCAUCAAAAAAACAACUCUUUUAACUAAAUAUUAUUCUAAAUAUUGUUCUAAUAUUUAACUAAAUUAUGCUUAAAAGAUUUGAGUAUUUUUAAUUUAAAUUCUCUUAAAGUAGUAAUUUUAUAACUUUAAUAAAAAUAAAAUUAGAUAGGAGCUAUAAUUAACAAAGCUUGAAUGAAUAGUUGUAUAUUAGAAAUUUAGAUAUCUUCUAUUAAUGUCAUUUAUAAUUUGUGCAUGCAAGAUUUUUUUUAUUAUUAUUUUUUUUAAGACUUUUAUUUAAAAAGAUUUUUUAUAUCUAAAUUAAAAUUAUAUUAAAUAAUUUAUUAUUAUUAUUAUUAUUAUUAUUAUUAUUUUUGUGUGUGAAAUGAUAUCAAAAACUUACAUGCUUAUUUUUUAAGUGAUAUUUAAAUUUUGUUAUUAAUACUAAAUUACUUUGGAUAUUUGAAUAUAUUUUUUUAGGAUUGUAAUAUGUAAAUUAUAAUAUAAAAAAUAUUCCAAUUAGAUAUGGCUUUAACUAUUGCAUUGGUUAAAAUCAUAUAUUAAGAUUUCAUUAAAGACUUUCUACUAAUUGUUGUUUCUUUUUGUCUUAAGAUUUUACAACUCGUCCUUCUAAUAAGAAAAAAAUAACAACCAAAAGUGUAUCUUCUACCAUCAAUAAUUUUUUUUUAAAUAUGUCACAACUUUUUAUGAUUCAUUAUUAAAUUUUAUAGAAUAAAUAAUGUUUUAUUUAAUAUCUUUAAAAAUUUAGAACAUAAAAUUAGAUAACUAUUGCACUGAGCUAUUAAUUUUGUUAACAUAAUCUGAUUUAGAGUUUAAAAUUGUAUAAAUAAGACUUCUAAUACCUUCUAAAUAGGAAUAAAUAAUUAUAAUGUUAGUAGAAGUUGAAAGAUAUAAUCUUGUUCAUGCUUCUAAAAGUGUUUUUGAAAGGUAGAAGUAAGAAUUUUAUAUUUUUGUAAUAUGUAUUUUUUAUAAAUACUUUGUUUAAUAUAAUAUAGUUUUUUAUACUUUUCUAUUUCUUAAAACGACAUUUCUAAGUAAAUAGUAAAAUUUUCCUUCACUUGACAUCUUAAAUUUGACAUAUUAAAUAAAAAAAGAAGAUUUUUUAUUAGGAUACAAUCAUCAACUUAAACUAUAAGAAUUGUAAAAUUCCUAUCUACUAUUCUUUGUGUGUAUAUAUGUUUAUUUUAGCAUCUAAAUUUGUAUAAUCAGGAUAGAGUAUAUAUUUAUCAAGAUAUUACUACCAAGUUCUAUUAGAUUUUAUAAGUCUAUUUUAGUAGUUUAUGUAAUCUUAAACCAAUUGUAGAUUGGAUGAGCAAAUAUCCUUUGUUACUACUUUAAAAAAAUAUUUCUUAAAAAACCUAUUAAAAAAAGAUGUUUUACAUCAAGUUAAUAUACUUUUAGAUUGUAUUUGGUAAUUAGGAUUGAAAACACUUUGAUAGAAUUUAGUUUCACUACAAGACAGAAAAUGAAAUUUAAUUAAGUUAAAGGAUAGAUAAGUAUUUGGACUACCGAUCUUUUUUUUUACUUAAUAUUGGCACCAUUUCUUUGUGUUUAUGUUUUUAAAAUCUAUUUUAAGUUAUAAUUUUUUUAUUAAAAAUAAUAUAAUAAAGGUUCUUGUAUUGUAUUUUUUGUAAAAGUUUUAUUUUUAUUUUAUUUAUGUUAUUUGCAGUUAUGUUAAGAAAAUAUCAAGUUAAUGUGAUUUAUUUUUUUCUUUUGAGAUGAUAUUUCUAUUUACAUUUAUAAAAUUUUCAUUAAAUUUCACAUCUCUAAAAAUUAGUAUUUAAUUUGGUGUAAAUGUUUAUUAAUUUGCAUGCCUUGCUUUCUUCACUACAUCCAAAAAAAAAAAAAAAAAAAAAAAAAACCUCAAUAGUAUAAUAGUCUAAUUUCUCAUUUUCUAAGGAAUCAAAAUAUAAGCUUUUACCACUAGAAAUUUUAAAGAAAGAAUAAUUUAGAUUUCUUGUAUAAGUUUUAUUCAAUGUAAUACCUUGUUCUAUAUACAAGUGAUUAACCAAAAUGUUGCAACCUUUUGGAACCCACUUAGUACACCAAAGCUUUAUCAACCUUGAUCCCCAACAAAUUCAACACUGCAAGCAAUGGUUGCACAGGAUUCAUUUGGUGCAUCUAGACCCCCUUUUUUGUUUAUCACAGCUUGGAUCAUCAACUUUUAGGGUUUCGGGAAUCAGUUUUUAUGCAGAGAUCGGCAAUGUUCAGUGUCGCCGAUCGUUUCUUGCAAGUACCGAAUGGAUCAAGAGUGAUGGAGUUUUGAAAAUCUGCAAAUGAGAUAUAGAAAAGGAGCUCAGUAUUUUGAUAAUUCAUUUCCUGACUUACAAUUUUUUCUUCAUAGCAGAUUAAGUAUUGAUGGUUUUGUUGGAGCUUGGCCAGUUUGUGAGAGAGAAGAUGGCUCUGAUAAAAUAAUACCUCAGUUUUACUAUCUCUUAUUUUUAAUUUUUUAAUUUUUUUUUUCAUGUGGGUACAAAACUCUUUUUUGGCUGUCAAGAUCAUGGAGAUGUGCAUGUCGCUUUCUUGCACAACAGCAUUACUUAUCACCAAACGAGACUAGCUCAUGCAACGAUCACUCUUCUACUACGAACCACAGAAACAUGUCGUCCGGUUGUGUGGAAAGUUGGUGUUGUUGUAGGUGGAGAAAAUUGCUGUAUUCACAGAACGUAUGAUAACCUGCAACUUCACCAUCUAUACAUCCGAACAAACGAGAGCUUGUUUCCGAGCCAUUGACUCGUCAAGGGGUAAACCAUCCCAGCGCAAAAUAGUGGAUUUAAAGCAACUUCUGAAAUGGCAAUAUCAUCAAUAUGUUCAAGUAAUUUUCAGAGAAGAGGAGCAACUGCAACUAAGAUUUCCGAAAUCCAUAUUAGGUGAUCAAAGACAGGUGCUCGUUUUAAAGUUUGCAUACAAUGGAGUGAUGUAAAAUAUGUAACUCAGAGAAGGUGAACAGAAAAGAAAUAAAGCAGAAUUCAAUUCAACAGCUCGACAGGUUCAUUGUUUAAAAGACAGCCGGUAAAUCGAGCUUGUGAUACGUACAAUAGAUAUAUUAUGUAUGUUACAUUCAUCAUACUAUCCAACAUGAAAAUGAGGCAAGCCAUGAGCGUCUGAUAGCAAGAGCAGCAUCCAACUUGGUCGCCAUAUCCAUAUAUUUCCAAAGCUCGAAAUCCGCCACGAGGUUGAUAGUAGUCUGGUCGAUGGGAGCCACCAUCUACAUUGCUGUCUUGUGUAUUCAGCGCUCUGUAGUUGAGGGAUAGCUUUUGCACGAGCACUAAGACUUGAAUCGCCACCGAAGAAGAGAGGAUGAAGAAGCUAUAGCUCCCUGAAGCAAAACCAUUCGAUUCUUACGGGGUUUUUUACACCCGUUUCCUGAAAGGUAGCGCUCGGAUGACGAGCGUGUGGUAAGCUGCGGCGAGCGCCGCGCCAAGCAUGGGACCGAUCCAAAAAAUCCACUGCAAAAGCACCAAAAAAAACAGAGAUCAAAGCCCGUCCGACAUGAGCCUGACAACUAAUACUGAGAGCAAUAUUCAUAAGCAUAUCCCUGACGUGAUUUGCAAUUUGCAUUCGGCGAGCAUAGGAUAAGGUGGGGAAGCAAAAGCUUGAACUCACGUGAUCGGCCCAAGCGUUGUUCUGUUUGUUAAAGACAACAGCAGCACCUAGACUACGGGCGGGGUUGAUGCCAGUUCCGGUGAUGGGAAUGGUGGCCAAGUGCACCAGGAAAACUGCGAAUCCGAUGGGAAGAGGCGCAAGCACCUGCAAGUCCAUCGAAGAGCAUCAUUUUGAGACCAUCUAACUGUGAGGAGUACCAAAGAUCAGCCAGCACGUCUCAGGCGCGGUAAUCUAGAACUGAACUGCACCGGAAACGGAGUGUACUCACCGGCACAUGAGAGUCACGGGCAUUGCGCUUGGCAUCGGUGGCGGAGAACACAGUGUACACCAGCACGAACGUGCCCACGAUCUCAGCGCCCAAGCCAUCGCCCUUGGUGUAACCAUGAGCGACAGAGUUAGACCCACCUCCUUGUUCUUGGUAGAAAUUUGGCUGGAAACCUUUCACGAUCUCAGCUCCGCACAUCGCACCUAAGCAUUGCAUGAUCAUGUAGAAAAGUGCUCUGUUGAGCGACACCUUCCGUGCCAGAAACAACCCGAACGUGACGGCGGGGUUGAUAUGUCCUCCCGAGAUUCCUGCAGUGCAGUACACGAGAGCGAAGAUCAUUCCGCCGAACGCCCACGCGAUCCCUUGGAUGCCGACCCCGAGGCAAGGGUCUGCCGAUCG